rnacentral:pre_miRNA from 1 species
GUUUUGCUGUUGGCGGGUGGAUCACGAUGCAAUUUUGAUUAGUUUGAUAGGAGAAAAAUUGCACGGUAUCCAUCUGUAAACCGCAGGAC